rnacentral:tRNA from 1 species
GGGCGUGUAGCUCAAUGGUAGAGCAGUGGCCUUUUAAGCCAUUGGUUGAGCGUUCGAGCCGCUCCACGCUCACUA